GAUGAAGAACGCAGCGAAACGCGAUAUGUAAUGUGAAUUGCAGAAUUCAGUGAAUCAUCGAAUCUUUGAACGCACAUGGCGCCUUCCAGUAUCCUGGGAGGCAUGCCUGUCCGAGCGUCGUUUCAACCCUCGAGCCCCCGUGGCCCGGCGUUGGGGAUCUGCCCAGGCAGUCCCCGAAAACCAGUGGCGGACCCGUUACAGGCCCUUCCCUUGCGUAGUAGCAUUCGCCUCGCAUCGGGAGCAGGCGGGCUUCCAGCCUCUAAACCCCCAUCAAGUCCGCCCCGGCGGCACCAAGGUUGACCUCGGAUCAGGUAGGAAUACCCGCUGAACUUAGGCAUAUCAAUAAGCGGAGGA
rnacentral:misc_RNA from 1 species